rnacentral:rRNA from 1 species
AAGAGACAGCAGUAGCCGCGGUAAUACGGAGGGUGCAAGCGUUAAUCGGAAUUACUGGGCGUAAAGCGCACGCAGGCGGUCUGACAAGUCAGAUGUGAAAUCCCCGGGCUUAACCUGGGAACUGCAUUUGAAACUGUCAGGCUGGAGUCUUGUAGAGGGGGGUGGAAUUCCAGGUGUAGCGGUGAAAUGCGUAGAGAUCUGGAGGAAUACCGGUGGCGAAGGCGGCCCCCUGGACAAAGACUGACGCUCAGGUGCGAAAGCGUGGGGAGCAAACAGGAUUAGAUACCCGAGUAGUCCCUGUCUCUUAUAA